rnacentral:rRNA from 1 species
UACAGAGGUCCCAAGCGUUGUUCGGAUUCAUUGGGCGUAAAGGGUGCGUAGGUGGCAGGGUAAGUCGGAUGUGAAAUCCCGGGGCUCAACCUCGGAACUGCAUUCGAUACUGCUUUGCUUGAGUACUGGAGAGGAGAUUGGAAUUUACGGUGUAGCAGUGAAAUGCGUAGAUAUCGUAAGGAAGACCAGUGGCGAAGGCGGAUCUCUGGACAGUUACUGACACUGAGGCACGAAGGCCAGGGGAGCAAACGGG